CCAAUAGCGUAUAUUAAAGUUGUUGCAGUUAAAAAGCUCGUAGUUGAAUUUCGGGGUUCUACCGUUGGUCGGGCAAUAGUCUGUACUGGCGUGUGGAAUUUCUACCUUCUGGGGAACCAUCAUGUUAUUAAUUUAGCGUGGUGGGAAACCAGGACCUUUACCUUGAAAAAAUUAGAGUGUUCAAAGCAGGCUUACGUCUGAAUACAUUAGCAUGGAAUAAUAAAAUAGGACGGUGGUCCCGUUUUGUUGGUUUCUGAAUCACCGUAAUGAUUAAUAGGGAUAGUUGGGGGCAUUAGUAUUCAAUUGUCAGAGGUGAAAUUCUUGGAUUUAUUGAAGACUAACUUCUGCGAAAGCAUUUGCCAAGGAUGUUUUCAUUAAUCAAGAACGAAAGUUAGGGGAUCGAAGACGAUCAGAUACCGUCGUAGUCUUAACCAUAAACUAUGCCGACUAGGGAUCGGACGAUGUUAAUUUUUCUUGACUCGUUCGGCGCCUUACG
rnacentral:rRNA from 1 species